rnacentral:lncRNA from 1 species
GCAACACCAACGUAAACAACUUCUUAAUCCUAGAAAUUCACUACAUAUUAGAAAGACUUAGCCUCAGGAAAUUAUGUUAGUGAUAGACGACUUGGCAGACUUGCUAUGUCAUUAAUGCCUUUAGAGAGCAAUUAAGACAGAAUGAUAUUUAAUCAAAGAAAGAAGAAGUGAGUACAUUUGAUUUGAAUCCUAGAAAUACAUUGAGAUCUCCUUUUCUGUUUCUUCAAAUUCUUGACCGACGAAUAUGACCAUCUACUUCUUGCAAGAUGUAUAUCAAAAUUGAGCCAUUAUAAUUGAUAAUCACAACUUGAUCAACAUAUGCUAUAAAACUUAACAAAAUCAAGGUGCAUAUAAACAAAGUCCACAAGAAAACAUUAUAAGGAAACCAUCAAUUUCAAUAUUAUAUUAUUUUUUAUCAUAAAACUUAAUAGAAUCGGGGAAAUGUUGAGGGGGAGUUUUAUAUCUGUUUUAGCUUCAGAAUCAGCAACACGCAUAUAUAUGGAAAUAAAACUAUCAUGUAAUAAAAUCAAAAGCAAGGUACAUUACUGAAACAAAAUCUUAGAAACAUAGGAUUUUUGGGUAAAUAAAUCAUGAUUGUUUCAACAGUUUGAGUAAUUAACUAAGGGCUAAACAACAACUCUAAGUUUACAUAUAGGGUUAAAGAAUUCCCACAUUUAUCACAAAAAGUACUUAAUUUAGCAAGUCAACUGAUAUACAAAAAGAAAAUAAAUUGAAAUAAAUACCUAUGUGAGCCUAUUAAGGGUGCUGUCAAUGUCAACAAAUUAAAACUCCAGAAACAUCUCAAGUUCCUCUAUAUGUUGCUUCCCAUUUUCCGAACUCCCCAUGCUAUCAUGUCGCAAAACCCAAUGAUUUUGAAGCUUCCGAUAAUCCAGAGGUUAAGGAACAAGAGAUAUUGGAGCCUAAAAGGAGAAAAUUAUCAUAGAUAUAACACACAAAUACUGCCGUCGAUAAGUAUCUGUUUUUCAUUCUCAUUAUCAACAAAAAAAUAUCAAGCUUGAGAUAUUGAAAAAAAAAAUCAAACAUUAUAUGACAAAAAAUAGAACCUUAUCCAAGCAAAACAAAUCGAUUUAUGGAUAAAAAUGAUCAAGCCAAUAGACCAACCAAAUAGACCAACCAAAACCGAUCGAACCUAGUUCAAGCAACACAGAUCAUUUAGGGCUAAAAAUCGAAAUACAAAUAAAUAAUCGAACCUGGUGGGGAUUUGGUGGCGGAAGAAAUCAUCACAUUUGAUGAGAGAGAAAGAGCCAGAAGAGACAUCUUUAUAUAAGUUUGGAAACUGAUAAUUUAAUUGAGGAUUUUAGGGAUUGAAUCUAAAAAAUAGGAAACGAUCGAAGAUUGAUUUUAUGAGAUUUGAAUAUUUGAAUAAUUUGAAUAUGCAAAUAGGAACCGACUGAUGUUUAUCUGAUAUGAGAGAUGAGAGAUGUUAUGAGCCUCUGAGAAUUUAUAUAAGAGAUUUAAGAGGAAGAAAAACACAAAUCGACAUCGAUGAAUUUAUUAAAAAUUUACUUGGAAUGGAAUCAAAAGGAGGUCGCUUGCUAAAAUUAGGGUUUAUUCCCUUUCAUUACAACAUCAAAGAAACGAUCAACAAAGGAAGAUGGGUGGAAGUGACUUUAUAAGCUGCAUCAAUUUAAAAAUCACAAAACAUCGUCGUCACGAUAGAGAUCACCCGCAAAACCAUUUAACCAUAAGGUUGAAUUGAAGGUUUCCAUUUGAUGCAUGAUGUGGGUAUUUUAAAUUUGAAUAUUUUACUAAAACCAAGAAACCGAAAUUAGAGGAAACAAUUGCGUGAUUUUAGGGAAUAAAUAGAUGAUUCCAUAGUUGAUAAGGGUCGG